rnacentral:sRNA from 1 species
ACUGUGCUCAUCAGGAAGAAAUUGAUGCACAAAGAACUACUGUCAACCUCAGCAAACCACAACUAUUCUUUUCUUUAAAAGUAAAUUCCUUGACACAAGUGACCUUAUCUUAAAUCUAAUAGAUUUCCUAUUUCCAAAAAGCUCUACUGGAGCAUUAUAAAACCUGAAAAUUCUCUUGUGCUUUCUCUUCUUUUGCUUCUAGUUACCAUCCUCAAAGGAUUGACUAAAAGCAAGCAACUGGAUUGAACACCCUAAGAAGAAAGACUUACACUGCACCAGGAGACAUCAGAAAGAAUGAAAACUCUGCCGCUGUUUGUGUGCAUCUGUGCACUGAGUGCUUGCUUCUCGUUCAGUGAAGGUCGAGAAAGGGAUCACGAACUACAUCACAGAAGGCAUCAUCACCAAUCACCCAAAUCUCACUUUGAAUUACCACAUUAUCCUGGACUGCUACCUCACCAGAAGCCGUUUAUUACAAAGUCCUAUAAAUGUCUACACAAACGCUGUAGGCCUAAGCUUCCACCUUCACCUAAUAACCCCAACAAAUUCCCAAAUCCUCACCGGCCACCUAAACAUCC